rnacentral:rRNA from 1 species
GUGCCAGCCGCCGCGGUAAUACGGAGGGUGCAAGCGUUAAUCGGAAUUACUGGGCGUAAAGUGCGCGUAGGCGGUUUGAUAAGCAGGAUGUGAAAGCCCCAGGCUCAACCUGGGAACGGCAUUCUGAACUGUCUGACUGGAGUAUGGUAGAGGGGUGUGGAAUUUCCGGUGUAGCGGUGAAAUGCGUAGAUAUCGGAAGGAACACCAGUGGCGAAGGCGACACCCUGGACCAAUACUGACGCUGAGGUGCGAAAGCGUGGGGAGCAAACAGGAUUAGAAACCCUAGUAGUCC